rnacentral:rRNA from 1 species
UACGAAGGGGGCUAGCGUUGCUCAGAAUCACUGGGCGUAAAGCGCACGUAGGCGGAUUGUUAAGUCAGGGGUGAAAUCCUGGAGCUCAACUCCAGAACUGCCUUUGAUACUGGCGAUCUUGAGUCCGGGAGAGGUGAGUGGAACUGCGAGUGUAGAGGUGAAAUUCGUAGAUAUUCGCAAGAACACCAGUGGCGAAGGCGGCUCACUGGCUCGAUACUGACGCUGAGGUGCGAAAGCGUGGGGAGCAAACAGG